GAGUGAGUGAGUGCAUGUGCACAUAUUUGAAGGUAGAUUCCCUAGAACUGAGAGCCAACAAAAUGCACCAUCUGGCACACCCAAGACAGGAAAGACAAUGUGAUAAGCCUAGAGUUUCCACUAGACUGUAACUCAAAACCAGUAAGGUCUGUUUUCACAUAAGGCUACUGACAAAAUGUGACACUUAUCUACUGAAUAACUUAUAAUGUUACCUAAGCAGAACUUCCCAAAGAAACCAAAAUUUUACAGUUUAUAUGUGGAGUUCGUUGGUGUUAAAGGUCUCUGUACUGUGUUUACUUCAACAAAUAGAAAAAUGUGAGAAAAUAGACUAGUAUCCAGAAUCUUGUCAUGCUGUCAACCAAUUUUAUAUUCUUCACGUACGAUCAUGAAGCAAAACUAUACCCAUUUGUGUGAUAUUGUAGUCACCAGACAUUUACAUAGAUAAGAGGAAUUUGCAUUCGGAUUUAAUUCAGCUAAAAUUAAACAGUGACAUGCGCUGAUGCCUGAACAGAAACUCUAGGUAAUCAGGCACAGCAAGAGUUGUGAUCAAGCUGUUGACAUUGGCCUCCUGAAUUUUCUGCUCACAACUGUGUGUUCCAUCAUCAAGAACAAUCCAAUGUUGGAGAAGGAAAAGGUGCAUAGCCCCUACAAGGCUCUGAAGUCUGAGAUGGGAGAGAAUGAUUACCAGCUAACGGAGAAGUAGCCAGCAAGAGGAUGCUGUGAAAUCAAAAUGCUUGCACUCCAAAAACACAAUAUCUUAGCUAGAUGACUACAGCAAUAUUCUGUGAAUGAUUAGUGGCCUACUUGGUGUCCAAAAUGAGUAUUGCAGUGAAAUUUAUUUGGGGUUUAAGAUCUUACUCACUCUUAUCAAUCUAAGUUCACAUAAAAUAGAAUCUAAUGGUAUAUACCUAAUAUUUAUGUUGUGUAAUUUUGCCUGCUAUUUCAUCCAUCAAGCAACUUAUGGAUCACAAUGUUAUUGCUAACAUGAAGACUCUAACAUACAGCACAUUUUUUGGGUGCUGAUAAACAAGACAGAAGGAAAGCCUACAGCAAAAAUUCUGGAAGCAGUACAACAUUCUCCAUGCCACCUUUCAUAUCAAGGAUGCAUCGAAUGCAUCCCUUAACACAAACUGAAUGCUGCGCAGUCAAAAGUUUAUGUGUGCUGUUCAAUCCUUACAAGGUUUAAGUGAAACAAAUUAAAUCAUUAGGUUAGCAAACCAUAAAGGAUUCUGAUGAAGAGGGGAAAUGAAAACUCACAGUGAAAGAAUGAAACAGACAUCUCAUUUAGCUAAUCUACAAGGGGCUUGAAUAGACUGUUUACCUGAUAGUGCACAAAAUGUGAAAUAAGCCUUUGGAAAUCAAUGGCCUUACUACAGUGUGGUUUUGGGCAUCAGUGAAAGAAGAAAGAACCAAGUAAAUCUUGACUUGUUUCUUUUAAGUGGUGACAUGUAGAAAAUGAAGGAAAAUAUUCUUUCCCUCUAGAACUCUUUAAUUCCACUUUCCUAAGUUGUUGUCUGGAAGUUAAACUGGAGGAUGUGGAUGGACACAAAGAUGAGUCCUCUUCCAUCCCUGCCACACAAGCCUAAUCAUACACACCCUGCCCCUUUGGUAUAUUAUGUGAGUACAUGACUUUGUUUACUUUUCUAUAGCUUACUUAUGUUCCGCAUUAACCAUCUCAUACAUGAUUACAGACUCUUCCCAUUUAAAAUGUAUCUCAACUAUACUACAGGUCCUAAUUAAGCACUACCAUACUAUAUUCUUCUGGGAUAGUGUAUCAUUAUUUACCAU